rnacentral:rRNA from 1 species
CGGGUGCGUAACACGUGAGCAACCUACCGAAAUGAGGGGGAUAGCCGUCCCAACGGACGGGUAAUACCGCAUACGCUCUUGUCCAGGCAUUUGGACUUGAGGAAACCUCCGGGGCAUUUCGAGGGGCUCGCGGCCUAUCAGCUAGUUGGUGAGGUAACGGCUCACCAAGGCGACGACGGGUAGCUGGUCUGAGAGGAUGGCCAGCCACAUUGGGACUGAGAUACGGCCCAG